GCCGGGUGUGGUGGCUCACGCCUGUAAUCCCAGCACUUUGGGAGGCUGAGAUGGGCGGAUCACCUGGGGUCAGGAGUUUGAGACCAGCCUGACCAACAUGGAGAAACCCCGUCUCUA
rnacentral:SRP_RNA from 1 species